rnacentral:rRNA from 1 species
AUUGAACGCUGGCGGCAGGCCUAACACAUGCAAGUCGAGCGGAUGAAGGGAGCUUGCUCCUGGAUUCAGCGGCGGACGGGUGAGUAAUGCCUAGGAAUCUGCCUGGUAGUGGGGGAUAACGUCCGGAAACGGGCGCUAAUACCGCAUACGUCCUGAGGGAGAAAGUGGGGGAUCUUCGGACCUCACGCUAUCAGAUGAGCCUAGGUCGGAUUAGCUAGUUGGUGGGGUAAAGGCCUACCAAGGCGACGAUCCGUGACUGGUCUGAGGGGAUGAUCAGUCACACUGGAACUGAGACACGGUCCAGACUCCUACGGGAGGCAGCAGUGGGGAAUAUUGGACAAUGGGCGAAAGCCUGAUCCAGCCAUGCCGCGUGUGUGAAGAAGGUCUUCGGAUUGUAAAGCACUUUAAGUUGGGAGGAAGGGCAGUAAGUUAAUACCUUGCUGUUUUGACGUUACCAACAGAAUAAGCACCGGCUAACUUCGUG